UAUCCGUCGUGGGCGUAGGAAAUUUGAGAGGAGCUGUCCUUAGUACGAGAGGACCGGGAUGGACAUACCUCUGGUGUACCAGUUGUCGUGCCAACGGCAUAGCUGGGUAGCUAUGUGUGGACGGGAUAAGUGCUGAAAGCAUCUAAGCAUGAAGCCCCCCUCAAGAUGAGAUUUCCCAACUUCGGUUAUAAGAUCCCUUAAAGAUGAUGAGGUUAAUAGGUUCGAGGUGGAAGCAUGGUGACAUGUGUAGCUGACGAAUACUAAUCGAUCGAAGACUUAAUCAAAA
rnacentral:rRNA from 1 species